rnacentral:rRNA from 1 species
CAGUCGCCACGGGAAUACGAAGGGGGCUAGCGUUGUUCGGAUUUACUGGGCGUAAAGGGUGCGUAGGCGGACUGAUAAGUCAGGGGUGAAAUCCCAAGGCUCAACCUUGGAACUGCCUUUGACACUGUUAGUCUUGAGUUCGAGAGAGGUAAGUGGAACUGCGAGUGUAGAGGUGAAAUUCGUUGAUAUUCGCAAGAACACCAGUGGCGAAGGCGGCUCACUGGCUCGAAACUGACGCUGAGGCACGAAAGCGUGGGGAGCAAACAGGAUUAGAUACCCGCGUAGUCCCUGUCUCUUAUAA